rnacentral:rRNA from 1 species
AGGUGCUGCAUGGCUGUCGUCAGCUCGUGUCGUGAGAUGUUCGGGUUAAGUCCCGCAACGAGCGCAACCCUUUAUCAUUAGUUGCUACGCAAGGGCACUCUAAUGAGACUGCCGGUGACAAACCGGAGGAAGGUGGGGAUGACGUCAAGUCCUCAUGGCCCUUAUGGUAGGGCUUCACACGUCAUACAAUGGUCGGUACAGAGGGUUGCCAAGCCGCGAGGCGGAGCCAAUCCCACAAAGCCGAUCGUAGUCCGGAUUGUUCUCUGCAACUCGAGAGCAUGAAGUCGGAAUCGCUAGUAAUCGCAGGUCAGCAUACUGCGGUGAAUACGUUCCCGGGUCUU